GACGAAAGUCUGACCGAGCAACGCCGCGUGAGUGAAGAAGGUUUUCGGAUCGUAAAACUCUGUUGUUAGAGAAGAACAAGGAUGAGAGUAACUGUUCAUCCCUUGACGGUAUCUAACCAGAAAGCCACGGCUAACUACGUGCCAGCAGCCGCGGUAAUACGUAGGUGGCAAGCGUUGUCCGGAUUUAUUGGGCGUAAAGCGAGCGCAGGCGGUUUCUUAAGUCUGAUGUGAAAGCCCCCGGCUCAACCGGGGAGGGUCAUUGGAAACUGGGAGACUUGAGUGCAGAAGAGGAGAGUGGAAUUCCAUGUGUAGCGGUGAAAUGCGUAGAUAUAUGGAGGAACACCAGUGGCGAAGGCGGCUCUCUGGUCUGUAACUGACGCUGAGGCUCGAAAGCGUGGGGAGCAAACAGGAUUAGAUACCCUGGUAGUCCACGCCGUAAACGAUGAGUGCUAAGUGUUGGAGGGUUUCCGCCCUUCAGUGCUGCAGCUAACGCAUUAAGCACUCCGCCUGGGGAGUACGACCGCAAGGUUGAAACUCA
rnacentral:rRNA from 1 species